GUGGCAUCUGCAAUACACCAUACUUCAGACACAGAUUCUCACCCAGGCAAGCGAUGAUUUCCAUUCUUCGUGCUCGAUGUCGCGGCUACGAGACGAGAAAGCCACACAACAUGAAAAUAUCACAUUCUUCACUCUAUACAUGC